rnacentral:rRNA from 1 species
GACAGAGGCCUCAAGCGUUAGGCGGAAUCACUGGGCUUAAAGCGCACGUAGGCGGCUCGUUAAGUCGGAUGUGAAAGCCCUGGGCUCAACCCAGGAAGUGCAUACGAAACUGGCGAGCUUGAGUAUGGAAGAGGGUCGCGGAAUUCCCGGUGUAGAGGUGAAAUUCGUAGAUAUCGGGAGGAACACCAGUGGCGAAGGCGGCGACCUGGGCCAAUAC